rnacentral:rRNA from 1 species
AGGGUUUGAUCAUGGCUCAGGACGAACGCUGGCGGCGUGCUUAACACAUGCAAGUCGUACGAGGUUUUCCGAGGUGCUUGCACUUUGGAGGCCUAGUGGCGAACGGGUGCGUAACACGUGAGCAACCUGUCCUACGGUGGGGGAUAGCCGGCCCAACGGCCGGGUAAUACCGCGUAAUGCAGCGAAACAUAAGUUGCGUUGUGAAAGCGGCCGCAAGGUCGCGCCGGAGGAGGGGCUCGCGGCUUAUCAGCUUGUUGGUGGGGUAACGGCCUACCAAGGCUACGACGGGUAGCUGGUCUGAGAGGAUGAUCAGCCACAUUGGGACUGAGAUACGGCCCAGACUCCUACGGGAGGCAGCAGUGGGGAAUAUUGCGCAAUGGCCGCAAGGCUGACGCAGCGACGCCGCGUGUGGGAUGAAGGCCUUUGGGUUGUAAACCACUGUCGGGAGGGACGAAUACCUGGCUUCGAAUAGUUGACCAGGGGUGACGGUACCUCCAAAGGAAGCACCGGCUAACUCCGUGCCAGCAGCCGCGGUAAUACGGAGGGUGCGAGCGUUGUCCGGAAUCACUGGGCGUAAAGAGCGCGUAGGCGGCCGUUUAAGUCAUUUGUGAAAUGCCGGGGCUCAACUCCGGAACUGCACGUGAGACUGGACGGCUAGAGAGCGGUAGAGGCGAGCGGAAUUCCCGGUGUAGCGGUGGAAUGCGUAGAUAUCGGGAAGAACACCAGAGGCGAAGGCGGCUCGCUGGGCCGAUGCUGACGCUGAGGCGCGAAAGCGUGGGUAGCAAACAGGAUUAGAUACCCUGGUAGUCCACGCCGUAAACGAUGGGCACUAGGCGUCGGGAGGUGCGACCCUUUCGGUGCCGUCGCUAACGCAUUAAGUGCCCGCCUGGGGAGUACGGCCGCAAGGCUGAAACUCAAAGGAAUUGACGGGGGCCCGCAC